rnacentral:rRNA from 1 species
GAACGCUGGCGGCGUGCUUAACACAUGCAAGUCGAACGGAAAGGCCCUGCUUGCAGGGUGCUCGAGUGGCGAACGGGUGAGUAACACGUGGGUGAUCUGCCCCUUACUUUGGGAUAAGCCUGGGAAACUGGGUCUAAUACUGGAUAGGACCAUGCUGUAGGUGGUGUGGUGGACAGAUUAGUUUCGGUACGGGAUGAGCUCGCGGCCUAUCAGCUUGUUGGUGUGGUAAUGGCCUACCAAGGCGUCGACGGGUAGCCGGCCUGAGAGGGUGGACGGCCACAUUGGGACUGAGAUACGGCGCAGACUCCUACGGGAUGCAGCAGUGGGGGAUAUUGCACAAUGGGCGCAAGCCUGAUGCAGCGACGCCGCGUGGGGUAUGACGGCCUUCGGGUUGUAAACUCCUUUCAGCCAUGACGAAGCCCUUGUGGUGACGGUAGUGGUAGAAGAAGCACCGGCUAACUACGUG